rnacentral:rRNA from 1 species
CCUACGGGAGGCUGCAGGCGCGAAAACUUUACAAUGCUGGCAACAGCGAUAAGGGAACCUCGAGUGCCAGGUUACAAAUCUGGCUGUCGAGAUGCCUAAAAAGCAUUUCAUAGCAAGGGCCGGGCAAGACCGGUGCCAGCCGCCGCGGUAACACCGGCGGCUCGAGUGGUAACCGUUAUUAUUGGGUCUAAAGGGUCUGUAGCCGGCCGGAUAAGUCUCUUGAGAAAUCUGGCAGCUUAACUGUCAGGCUUUCAGGAGAUACUGUCUGGCUCGAG